UACGAAGGGGGCUAGCGUUGCUCGGAAUUACUGGGCGUAAAGCGCACGUAGGCGGCUUUCUAAGUCGGGGGUGAAAUCCUGGAGCUCAACUCCAGAACUGCCUUCGAUACUGGAGAGCUUGAGUCCGGGAGAGGUGAGUGGAACUGCGAGUGUAGAGGUGAAAUUCGUAGAUAUUGGGAAGAACACCAGUGGCGAAGGCGGCUAACUGGUCCAGUACUGACGCUGAGGUGCGAAAGCGUGGGGAGCAAACAGG
rnacentral:rRNA from 1 species